ensembl:snRNA Gm25014 predicted gene, 25014
UCCACUCUCUUCAGCAGCACAGACUAAAAUUAGAACAAUGCAGAGAUUAGUGUGGCCCCUGUGNAAGGUCAGCCUGCAAAUUCAUGAAGUGUUCCGUGUUUUU